rnacentral:rRNA from 1 species
GACGAACGCUGGCGGCGUGCUUAACACAUGCAAGUCGAACGAAGUGGCGAACGGGUGAGUAACGCGUAAUCAACCCGCCCUUCAGAGGGGGACAACUGUUGGAAAGGACUGCUAAUACCGCAUACUGUAGGAGGGGAUUGCGUUUGUUUAGCUAGUUGGAGGGGUAACGGCCCACCAAGGCGAUGAUCAGUAGCCUGUCUGAGAGGAUGAACCGCCACAAUGGGACUGAGACACGGCCCAGAAUCCUACGGGAGGCAGCAGUGGGGAAUCUUCCGAAAUGGACGAAAGUCUGACGGAGCAACGCCGCGUGAGUGAUGACGGCCUUCGGGUUGGAAAGCUCUGUUAAGCGGGACGCGGUACCGGGAUAGAAAGCCACGGCUAACUACGUGCCAGCAGCCGCGGUAAUUC